rnacentral:rRNA from 1 species
AGAGUUUGAUCCUGGCUCAGGAUGAACGCUGGCGGCGUGCCUAAUACAUGCAAGUCGAGCGAACAGACAAGGAGCUUGCUCCUUUGACGUUAGCGGCGGACGGGUGAGUAACACGUGGGUAACCUACCUAUAAGACUGGGAUAACUUCGGGAAACCGGAGCUAAUACCGGAUAAUAUUUCGAACCGCAUGGUUCGAUAGUGAAAGAUGGUUUUGCUAUCACUUAUAGAUGGACCCGCGCCGUAUUAGCUAGUUGGUAAGGUAACGGCUUACCAAGGCGACGAUACGUAGCCGACCUGAGAGGGUGAUCGGCCACACUGGAACUGAGACACGGUCCAGACUCCUACGGGAGGCAGCAGUAGGGAAUCUUCCGCAAUGGGCGAAAGCCUGACGGAGCAACGCCGCGUGAGUGAUGAAGGUCUUCGGAUCGUAAAACUCUGUUAUUAGGGAAGAACAUACGUGUAAGUAACUAUGCACGUCUUGACGGUACCUAAUCAGAAAGCCACGGCUAACUACGUGCCAGCAGCCGCGGUAAUACGUAGGUGGCAAGCGUUAUCCGGAAUUAUUGGGCGUAAAGCGCGCGUAGGCGGUUUUUUAAGUCUGAUGUGAAAGCCCACGGCUCAACCGUGGAGGGUCAUUGGAAACUGUAAAACUUGAGUGCAGAAGAGGAAAGUGGAAUUCCAUGUGUAGCGGUGAAAUGCGCAGAGAUAUGGAGGAACACCAGUGGCGAAGGCGACUUUCUGGUCUGUAACUGACGCUGAUGUGCGAAAGCGUGGGGAUCAAACAGGAUUAGAUACCCUGGUAGUCCACGCCGUAAACGAUGAGUGCUAAGUGUUAGGGGGUUUCCGCCCCUUAGUGCUGCAGCUAACGCAUUAAGCACUCCGCCUGGGGAGUACGACCGCAAGGUUGAAACUCAAAGGAAUUGACGGGGACCCGCACAAGCGGUGGAGCAUGUGGUUUAAUUCGAAGCAACGCGAAGAACCUUACCAAAUCUUGACAUCCUUUGACAACUCUAGAGAUAGAGCCUUCCCCUUCGGGGGACAAAGUGACAGGUGGUGCAUGGUUGUCGUCAGCUCGUGUCGUGAGAUGUUGGGUUAAGUCCCGCAACGAGCGCAACCCUUAAGCUUAGUUGCCAUCAUUAAGUUGGGCACUCUAAGUUGACUGCCGGUGACAAACCGGAGGAAGGUGGGGAUGACGUCAAAUCAUCAUGCCCCUUAUGAUUUGGGCUACACACGUGCUACAAUGGACAAUACAAAGGGCAGCGAAACCGCGAGGUCAAGCAAAUCCCAUAAAGUUGUUCUCAGUUCGGAUUGUAGUCUGCAACUCGACUACAUGAAGCUGGAAUCGCUAGUAAUCGUAGAUCAGCAUGCUACGGUGAAUACGUUCCCGGGUCUUGUACACACCGCCCGUCACACCACGAGAGUUUGUAACACCCGAAGCCGGUGGAGUAACCAUUUGGAGCUAGCCGUCGAAGGUGGGACAAAUGAUUGGGGUGAAGUCGUAACAAGGUAGCCGUAUCGGAAGGUGCGGCUG